rnacentral:snRNA from 1 species
AGCUUUGCACAGUAGCAGUAUGGUAGCCAAUGAGAUCUAUCUGAAGUGCAAUUAUUGCUAAUUGAAAAUUUCUGCCAAUAUCCCGCCGUGAUGACUUGAAAUAUAGUCAUCUUUGGCAACUUUUAGCAAUCUCUAUGGAGA